rnacentral:rRNA from 1 species
CCCUUAGAUGUUCUGGGCUGCACGCGCGCUACACUGAUGCGCUCAACGAGUUUUAACCUUGCCUGGAAAGGUUGGGUAAUCUUUUUAAAACGCAUCGUGAUGGGGAUAGAUUAUUGCAAUUAUUAAUCUUCAACGAGGAAUUCCUAGUAAACGCAAGUCAUCAGCUUGCAUUGAUUACGUCCCUGCCCUUUGUACACACCGCCCGUCGCUCCUACCGAUUGAAUGAUCCGAUGAAUAUCAUGGAUUGAGGAUGCAAGUAGGUUCGCCUAUCUUCAUCUUCGAGAAGUGAAGUAAAUCUUAUCAUUUAGAGGAAGGAGAAGUCGUAACA